rnacentral:rRNA from 1 species
UACGGGGGGGGCAAGCGUUGUUCGGAAUUACUGGGCGUAAAGGGCUCGCAGGCGGCCGACUAAGUCAGACGUGAAUCCCUUGGCUUAACCAAGGAAUGGCGUCUGAUACUGGACGGCUUGAAUUCGGGAGAGGGAUGUGGAAUUCCAGGUGUAGCGGUGAAAUGACGUAGAUAUCUGGAGGAACACCGGUGGCGAAGGCGGCAUCCUGGACCGAUAUUGACGCUGAGGAGCGAAAGCCAGGGGAGCAAAGCGGG